rnacentral:rRNA from 1 species
GACGAACGCUGGCGGCGUGCUUAACACAUGCCAGUCGAACGGAAAGGCCCUGCUUGCAGGGUACUCGAGUGGCGAACGGGUGAGUAACACGUGGGUGAUCUGCCCUGCACUUCGGGAUAAGCCUGGGAAACUGGGUCUAAUACCGGAUAGGAGCCAUUUUUAGUGUGAUGGUUGGAAAGUUUUUUCGGUGUAGGAUGAGCUCGCGGCCUAUCAGCUUGUUGGUGGGGUAAUGGCCUACCAAGGCGGCGACGGGUAGCCGGCCUGAGAGGGUGGACGGCCACAUUGGGACUGAGAUACGGCCCAGACUCCUACGGGAGGCAGCAGUGGGGAAUAUUGCACAAUGGGCGCAAGCCUGAUGCAGCGACGCCGCGGGGGGGAGGACGGCCUUCGGGUUGUAAACUCCUUUCGCUAGGGACGAAGCUUUUUGUGACGGUACCUAGAUAAGAAGCACCGGCUAACUACGUG